rnacentral:tRNA from 1 species
GUGACGUUAGCUCAGUCGGCCAGAGUCCCGGAAUGUGAAUCCGGAGGUCGUGGGUUCGAACCCCACACGUCACCCCA